UUGGUCUUAAAUUUUUUGGGUGUCAUGUCACUACGAAUAUGAGGCAAUCUGUUCUGCCAGGUCUAAUAUUUUGCUCCGGUCGCUCUGCGGUGUCUGGUGUCACCGGGGCCACGCCCCUUCUCUUAAAGGGGCCCCGCGUAUUCGGUCCCAUCCCCUACAACGUGAAGCAUCGGCUAGUUUAGAAAACAUGGCAGGAUGCAAGUUCAACAACGGCUUGAAAAGAACGAGUGUUUCUGGUCACGGUGGGUGAAAUGCUUCUGAAGCUGCGUUAUGUGUCGGGAGACUUUCCAGCGGUGGAAUCUCACGUGCAGAGCAAGAAGCACAGAGACUAGCGAAGGCCGCCAGCAGCGCGCGGGGCUAGCUGCUGCUCCGCCGCGAGCUGCUGCUCCGCCGCGAGCUGCUGCUCCGCCGCGAGCUCCUGCUCCGCCGCCAGCAACGACGUCAGCUACAACGCUGGAGGUCACCGGAGGAAAUCCAGCGCCGUGCAACAAAGAGCUCAUCACCGAAGUCCAACGCUGCGGUGCGUUCUUCAUUCUGUUCCACGAGACUCUGGACCAGACCACCGCGAGCAGACAGCUGGACUUCAUGUGCUCUUGGUGAAAUGACCAGGUCCCGUCAGGAUCCUGUGGAGCUCAUGGGCCAUGACACCAGGACCUACUUCAGCACCUCAAAGAGAAUGGACCAAAUGUCAACUGGAAGUUUUUUUUAUUCAUAUAGUUUGAAAAGGAUUGUUUUCCUAGUAUAUUCACAAAAGCUCAGGAGUAGACAUGAACCUGUGCACAGACAUCCAUCACAUAGAGACAUGAGAACUCACUCACUCACUCACUCACACACACACACAUACAUUCUAUUAUGUAAAUGAAUUUGCAUUUUAAAAGCAGCUGGAAUUGUUAUUUAUGUUAUUUUAUAGAUUUUUUUGUUCAAAAGGAACUAUGUUGCUCGUAUUUUUAAAAAUAUAUUUACUUGAUGUUAUAAACAUUUGUUCAUGGGACCUAAAUGUUCUGAAAAUGUUAUAUUAAUAAAUAUAAUUUACAACAGCAA